rnacentral:rRNA from 1 species
GAUGAACGCUGGCGGCGUGCUUAACACAUGCAAGUCGAACGGUGAACGAGGGAGCUUGCUCCCUCCGGAUCAGUGGCGAACGGGUGAGUAACACGUGAGCAAUCUGCCCUGGACUCUGGGAUAAGCGUUGGAAACGACGUCUAAUACCGGAUACGAGACGCGAAGGCAUCUUCAGCGUCUGGAAAGAACUUCGGUCCAGGAUGAGCUCGCGGCCUAUCAGGUAGUUGGUGAGGUAACGGCUCACCAAGCCUACGACGGGUAGCCGGCCUGAGAGGGUGACCGGCCACACUGGGACUGAGACACGGCCCAGACUCCUACGGGAGGCAGCAGUGGGGAAUAUUGCACAAUGGGCGCAAGCCUGAUGCAGCAACGUCGCGUGAGGGACGACGGCCUUCGGGUUGUAAACCUCUUUUAGCAGGGAAGAAGCGAAAGUGACGGUACCUGCAGAAAAAGCACCGGCUAACUACGUGCCAGCCGCCGCCGUAAAAC